rnacentral:rRNA from 1 species
UACAGGGGGGGCAAGCGUUGUUCGGAAUUACUGGGCGUAAAGGGUUCGUAGGUGGCCACUUAAGUCAGACGUGAAAUCCCUCAGCUUAACUGGGGAACUGCGUCUGAUACUGAGUGGCUUGAGUGCAGGAGAGGGAUGCGGAAUUCCACGUGUAGCAGUGAAAUGCGUAGAGAUGUGGAGGAACACCGAUGGCGAAGGCAGCCCCCUGGGCUAACACUGACGCUCAUGCACGAAAGCGUGGGGAGCAAACAGG